GUUUGUUGGGAAAAUUCUGCAUCGAAAAUUUGAUUGUAAUUAAAAUCUAACUAGUUUUGUGAUGAAAAUAAAUAAAUUAAUUUACAUAUAAGCGCUAAAAUUCAAAAUUGUGGAAGAAGAAGAAUCGAACGAUUUGAUCCGGAAGCAUGCGAACACUGCCUGCGUGACUGAAUGCGAGCAUUGCCUAAGUCGUGACUGGAAUUUCUUUUUUUACGAGCACGAACGCGAAAGAGGUUGACGGAGAUUUUUUCAAUAUCCAAUGGAUAAGAGAUAUAUUCAAAUAAUAAAAUAUG
rnacentral:lncRNA from 1 species